AUAUUUUUUCCUUUGUGACAAUCAACUACUUCCCCCACAGCUGAAGAUAUACCUGCUAAUAUGGAAAUCUAAAUAUGUUUAGUAAGAGCAAAUUGAAUUUAAGUACAAUCACGACGAAGAACACAUAUAUACAUGCAUAUAUUUAUGUCUACAAAUAGUGUAUAUGUAGAUGUGUCUUUUGUUCGAAUAGAUCUUUUUCGGUUUCUAACCUUUCCCAGCAAUGCAUGGUGCCUCAACUAUCGUCAGAGUUUUUUCUGUAUGCAGCUCAAACCCAGCAGCUUGUUUGGUAUAUUCAAGCAGCACAGUCGAACCCUUUUUUAAUUCAAGUUUUUUUGAUCGCCGGCGUGUUAAAAGCAAUUCUUUUUUAUCAACUGAUAACUGCUUGUAUAGAUCACGUCUCCUACGGUUAAUUUUAGAGACGAUUAGUGUUGAGCACUGUUGCUUCCUUUUCUGCACACAACAAGCUGACGGUAAAUGCUUUUUAACAGUUGACAUUUGCAGUUCAAGUAAUCUAUAAAACUUUAACAUCAAAUCUGCAGUAACAACGAUUUUUAUAUAUGAAAUGUUCUACAAACAGAUACAGAGAGUUACAGUUCAAAGUGUGUAUUUGUUAUUCUAGGCAAAUAAGAUGGUGACCAAUACAAAGAAUUCAAUAGUGGUAACGCUGGAAAGCAAACGAAUUAAUACUAUAAUUGUUUCUUAUUAUAGAAUUAGUUUUUGUAUAUGGCAGAAACUUUGAACAUUGACUAUGGUUUUAGUGUACAAUAGAAAGAAGAGCACAACGAUAGACGAAGCUUCUAAAUAUUUAUUGGUAACUUAUAAAAAAAUAGUCAAAUUACUAAACGUGUUAAAGCUGUUACACCACUGGAAGAAAUACAAACUAUUGUCAAAUUUCAAAUAGUUUUAAGUUGAUUAGAGGAAAUUAUUGAAAACAUGAAAAAGAAUCUCUGUUGUAGCUGCACUAUUAGUUGCCUCAAGAGAAUGAAAAGAAGAAACUUCAUUCUUUCUCAUUUUCUUUUGUAGACCUUUCAACUGCUAACUCAGGAAUUAACUUUUAACAAUUAUUUCACUGCCUUGGAAAAUUUGGAUUCUCAAGAUACAUAUAUUUGGGGCACAGAGCACAGAGCAAUGGUAAACUAAUAUAACCAAUAUUUUGUCAAAUACAGCCUUUGAAAAUACAAGUUCCAAAAUAGAUAUAGGUCUAUCCCUCCAAAUCUUCAUUACAAACAUACACAAGAUCAUUAGUUUAUCAUUCCAAACUAAAUCCAAAUAAAAAAUUAGAAACCACAAUCUCGAAAAUAAAUCAUGAAUCAACAAAACAAAUUUUAUCAUUAGGGAAAAGUAGAUUUUUUUUACCUUAGAUUCAUUUUUGGACUCGUUGGCAGUAGCUUCAGUAUUUCUUGCCAUAGGAAAGUUGUACCUUUAGAUGUGCAAGAAAAGGGAACACAUUAGAGAAGCCCAAAAAAAACCUAUUUUAAAAAACCUCAUUGUUAUGCAUCACAAGUUUAUCAAUGGAAAUAUCUUGUAAUAGGGGGAGAGAUCAGUACAAAUUCGAAGUUAAUUAGAUCAGAUAGCAUUCAUGCCAAAAGGAAAUAGGGUUCUUUAAGAGAAGUAUACGAAAAGUAGUGUGUGUAUUAUACCAAAAAUGCAAUAUUUUGUAUUAUGCGAUUUCAAAUGCGAUCGAAGAAAAAUUUAAGCAAAAGAGAUGCCAUUUAAUCUAGAUGAUGUUAUCUUCUUCCCAGAUAGUGAGAAUUAAGUGUCCCUCUAAUGAAACAAAAAACUCUAUGGUUUCCCGAAAAAGAUUUUAAUCUAGUGUGAUUUAGUGCCAACAAUAAGUAAAAUUUGUAGGCAAAAGUGCUUGAACAAAUUAAGAGGGACAGCAACUUGCACUUGCUCAAGAUAAGGCAAUAUGAUGGUUCAUAAGAACUUUAAAAUCAUUUUAAGCAGCUACUGCCAAAUGCUGCAAAGAAUUACUGUGAACUAAUAAAUCAAAUAAACCAAACAGUGAAACAGAGCUGUUACAAGGUCAAAAUGCAGAAAAUACAAACUAUUGCAUUUUUUAAAA
rnacentral:lncRNA from 1 species